rnacentral:rRNA from 1 species
UACGGAGGAUGCGAGCGUUAUCCGGAUUUAUUGGGUUUAAAGGGUGCGUAGGCGGGAUGCCAAGUCAGCGGUCAAAUACGGGGGCUCAACCUGCGUCCGCCGUUGAAACUGAUGAUCUUGAGUGGGCGAGAAGUAUGCGGAAUGCGUGGUGUAGCGGUGAAAUGCAUAGAUAUCACGCAGAACUCCGAUUGCGAAGGCAGCAUACCGGCGCUCAACUGACGCUCAUGCACGAAAGCGUGGGUAUCGAACAGG